rnacentral:rRNA from 1 species
UCCGCAACGAGCGCAACCCUAUUGUUAGUUGCCAUCAUUCAGUUGGGCACUCUAGCGAGACUGCCGGUAAUAAACCGGAGGAAGGUGGGGAUGACGUCAAAUCAUCAUGCCCCUUAUGACCUGGGCUACACACGUGCUACAAUGGUUGGUACAACGAGUUGCGAGUCGGUGACGGCGAGCUAAUCUCUUAAAGCCAAUCUCAGUUCGGAUUGUAGGCUGCAACUCGCCUACAUGAAGUCGGAAUCGCUAGUAAUCGCGGAUCAGCACGCCGCGGUCGAAUACGUUCCCGGGCCUU